ensembl:lncRNA
CUUCAGUGUAUGUGGCUAGUGGGUGUCUUGUAGCUUCUAAAAUCAAGUGCACUAACUUUCUUGAACCUGUGGGUGGCACAAAGAUCACCUCAGCGCUGUCAUGAACUUUAUGUAAGAUUUAUGUAAGCUUAAAAGCGUGUAUGAGAGAGGAUUACAUUUUCACUCUGGACUUUAUCCACUGCUUCCUGCCAAGCUUUUCCAGUUGGUCACAAUCAGACUAAUGGAAUGAAGUUUAUCAGAGCAAGAUGAACUUUGACCUGUAAAGCCUAAACAAGACUCGGGACAGGGUGAGGUUCAUAACAGACACUUAGCCUAUCGUAUGUACAAAACUUCCCACAAACGCACAUUCAUUUUUAAUUGAAUGCUGAAUAGAAGGAAGAUCAAGAGUGUCUUUUCCUGCUGCUGUAGGAAAGAAUAAAAGCAAGGUAUGACCUACCACAGAGAGGACAAAGAGAUGACUCUGUAGCAGGACACAUCUGCAUGGUCCCCACCUCCCUGUCAAGCUAAAGGUCUGCCCUUCACGUGUCAUGGACAGCCACAACCACCAUGGAAGAGCAGAGACAGACAGAAACAUUAUUAUCUGUUUCAUCCUUAAAGAGAUCUCUCCUGCUGAUGUCUGGUCAUCAUGACAUAUUUGAACACCCAGCACCUUCACUGAAGUGGUGUGGUGGUGUCUUGAAAAAAAGAAAAAAAAAGGUGCAGAUAAAAGUGAAGAGAUACAGAGUUACAGUUUCUUUUUUAGAAGCUGUCAUGCUAUGGGAGAAGGUAAAUUGCCCAGCAUAGAGAUGGAUUAGUUGAAAUCACUGGGAUUCUUAAAGGAUUAAGAGGAUUCUGGCAUUUCCAUUGUGUUAGAGGACUGGCAGAGUUUGGGGCCAUUCAUCCAAAAAUAACAUAUGGCUUUUAACAGGGGGAGGAUGACAAAACGACAGCAGCACACUGACAGCUUGUUUAAAGACAACCAUUAACAGCAGACACUAUACAUAUUGAUGUUUUAGUAAUAAUUUCUGACAUCACACAAUCAAAUGGCUAAAAUUUACCUCUCAGUCUGUAAAUGCAUGCAGUCACUCCGGCCUGUGCUCAUUGCUGUAUGACACACUACAGCCGAGGUUAGGUUACACUCAUUUCAGCCUGUGCGCUGUAAUUGCAUGGUUGUGUUUCCCAUCAACCAAACCAUUUCCAAACUCAACUCUCAUUAAAUACAGUGGGCGGAAAUGUUUGCGUCUGAAUGUGAUGUUUAUGGGCUAUAUACGGAAAGAUGGCCUCAUCCACACAAUAACAAGACUGAAACUGGAUCUCUGAGUCUCGGGAAGUUUAGGAGGAAACUUGGGUUUUUUAACAAGCAAAAUUUAUUUCAGAGAUAAUGCUUUAUGAUUCAGUUUGUCAUCUCAAAUGAAUGAUAAGAAAUUUAGAAAUCUUUCCUAAGAGUUUGUUUAAAGUUUGGAAAGAGUGAAACUGAGUGGAAAU